AGCUACCUUGUAGCCUAAUAAACUGCGCUUGUGCUGUUAACAUUACUUGGGCUUCGCCUUGGUUUAUUGGACCAUCCGGCCGUAAGUCAGAUAAUACCUGGAAUGUUAACUUGUAGUUNUACGUCGUAGGCGAAAAUAAAAAAAAGGACGUGGGAAGGUCGACCCUUGCGCUUGAGCCUUCCACUAGUUUAAUACUGAAUUACGUAUAAUAAUUAGUAUUGGCUUAGAAAUAAAAAGCAAUACAAUACUUAAAAUCUUAUUUUUUAUGUAGUUUUUUAAAAAAACAUUAUUUAAAAGACAAUAAAGGAGAGUUGUUUAGGCCUAUACGACGUAAGCUAGAUACGUAUGCAUAAAACUAGACUAUAAAACAACUUACGAUUUCAUUGCGCAAGCGCUUUGAGGAGAGCUUCGCCCCUGCAGAGUAACAGUAAGCCUAAAAAAAUGAAAGCGUCACGCUAAACGUAGCUUAUAACACUUGUGCUUCCAAAUCUAUACAAUAUAUGGAGUUAGAGGUUAUUGAACCUUACAGUGAGUUUGUUGUUUAAUAUAGUUUAGUGACUAUAUUAAGUUUAGUGACUAUAUUAAAAAUUAAACGACAUCCCCCAAGGAAACUAGGCUUAUUUCAUGGGCUCCGCCCUAAAAACAUGCUUAUUAAAGUCUAGCUACAAAAAGGGCAAAGCCCAAAGACAACCCGAUUAGCCAACGGCCCUAAACUUAGUAAAGCUACUUAGGCGGAGUCAACGAUUCGGCCUAGAAUAUAAUUGAAAAUCCAUUGGACAACGCGUGCGUGAAGCGAAACUGUGUUGCAUAUUCGGCCGCAGGGAUGCUACAACUAGGCUUAACAUAAACAGACUACAGUUUUGCUAAAUAAUAAAGGUUUACGUAAGUUGGGACGAU
rnacentral:lncRNA from 1 species